UGAGUUUGGCUUGUUGUUAUGAACAUUGUUCGUUUUGGUGAGCUUGAAGGCUUUUGAGCAUGUGUAAUGGCAUGAAUGCGUGAAGCUGUGGUUUUAGUGUUCUUUUGAUGAGUUUGGCUUGUUGUCAUGAGCAUUGUUUGUUUUGGCGAGGUUUGAAGGUUUUUGAGCAUGUGUAAUGGCAUGAAUGUGUGAAGCUGUUGUUUUAGUGUUCUUAUGAUGAGUUUGGCUUGUUAUGAACAGUGUUUGUUUUGGCGAGUUUGAAGGUUUUUGAGCAUGUUUAAUGGCAUGUUUGUGUUAAGCUGUUGUUUUAGUGUUCUUUUGAUGAGUUUUGGCUUGUUGUUAUGAACAUUGUUUGUUUUUGGAGAGUUUGAACGUUUUUGAGCAUGUGUAAUGGCAUGAAUGCGUGAAGCUG